CAUAGCCACGGUAAUACGUAGGGCGCAAGCGUUAUCCGGAAUUAUUGGGCGUAAAGAGCUUGUAGGCGGUUUGUCGCGUCUGCCGUGAAAGUCCGGGGCUCAACCCCGGAUCUGCGGUGGGUACGGGCAGACUAGAGUGAUGUAGGGGAGACUGGAAUUCCUGGUGUAGCGGUGAAAUGCGCAGAUAUCAGGAGGAACACCGAUGGCGAAGGCAGGUCUCUGGGCAUUAACUGACGCUGAGGAGCGAAAGCAUGGGGAGCGAACAGGAUUAGAUACCCCAGUAGUCCCUGUCUCUUAUACA
rnacentral:rRNA from 1 species